AUUUGAAAUCUGGCCUUCCGGUCCGAGUUGUAAUUUGCAGAGGAUGCUUUUGGCGAGGUGCCUUCCGAGUUCCCUGGAACGGGACGCCACAGAGGGUGAGAGCCCCGUCUGGUCGGACACCGAGCCUCUGUAAAGCUCCUUCGACGAGUCGAGUAGUUUGGGAAUGCUGCUCAAAAUGGGAGGUAUAUGUCUUCUAAAGCUAAAUAUUGGCCAGAGACCGAUAGCGCACAAGUAGAGUGAUCGAAAGAUGAAAAGCACUUUGAAAAGAGGGUUAAAAAGUACGUGAAAUUGUUGAAAGGGAAGCGCCUAUGACCAGACUUGGGCCCGGUGAAUCACCCAGCGUUCUCGCUGGGGCACUUUGCCGGGCACAGGCCAGCAUCAGUUUGGCGCGGGGGAAAAAGGCUUCGGGAAUGUGGCUCCCUCGGGAGUGUUAUAGCCCGCUGCGUAAUACCCUGCGCCGGACUGAGGUACGCGCAUUGCAAGGAUGCUGGCGUAAUGGUCAUCAGCGACCCGUCUUGAAACACGGACCAAGGAGUCGUCUUCGUAUGCGAGUGUUCGGGUGUCAAACCCCUACGCGUAAUGAAAGUGAACGCAGGUGAGAGCUUCGGCGCAUCAUCGACCGAUCCUGAUGUUCUCGGAUGGAUUUGAGUAAGAGCAUACGGGGCCGGACCCGAAAGAAGGUGAACUAUGCCUGUAUAGGGUGAAGCCAGAGGAAACUCUGGUGGAGGCUCGCAGCGGUUCUGACGUGCGAAUCGAUCGUCAAAUA
rnacentral:rRNA from 1 species